GUUGUCGUAAGGCGGGGUCUGAAGGAAGCUGUAAGCAAAGUGCCGGCCUGACGAACAGGAAGCGCAUAAGAGGCAGUCGCAUCAGGGCAAGGGGGCCCAUUUACCCAAAGCCCGAUAUCACCCGGAUGAUGCGGCUGUAGAUGCGACAGGUAUAUGGCAUGAAGGUCACGCGUC
rfam:Ochrobactrum anthropi ATCC 49188 chromosome 1, complete sequence.